rnacentral:rRNA from 1 species
UAAUAGUGUAUAUUAAAGUUGUUGCAGUUAAAAAGCUCGUAGUUGAAUGUUGGUGUCGAACGAGCGGUCAGCUUCGGCUGUACUGCUCUCUCGACUCCUUCCUUCUGUGGACUACGUCGCACUUUACUGUGUGGCGCUAGGACGCAGAUCGUUUACUGUGAAAAAAUUAGAGUGUUCAAAGCAGGCCGUACGCUUGAAUACAUUAGCAUGGAAUAAUAGAAUAGGACGUCGGGCCUAUUUUGUUGGUUCUAGGACCGUCGUAAUGAUUAAUAGGGACAGUUGGGGCCGUUUAUAUUCCGUAGUCAGAGGUGAAAUUCUUGGAUUUACGGAAGAUAAACUACUGCGAAAGCAUUCGGCAAGGAUGUUUUCGUUAA